rnacentral:miRNA from 1 species
CUUGGAAUUGAUCGCGUACAAACC